UGGGGAAUUUUGCACAAUGGGGGAAACCCUGAUGCAGCGACGCCGCGUGAUUUAGAAGGCCUUCGGGUUGUAAAAAUCUUUUCUAUGGGAAGAAAAUGACAGUACCAUAGGAAUAAGGACCGGCUAAUUACGUGCCAGCAGCCGCGGUAAUACGUAAGGUCCGAGCGUUGUCCGGAAUCAUUGGGCGUAAAGGGUACGUAGGCGGGUAAGCAAGUUAGAAGUGAAAUCCUAUAGCUCAACUAUAGUAAGCUUUUAAAACUGCUCAUCUUGAGGUAUGGAAGGGAAAGUGGAUUUCCUAGUGUAGCGGUGAAAUGCGCAGAUAUUAGGAGGAAUACCGGUGGCGAAGGCGACUUUCUGGCCAUAACCUGACGCUGAGGUACGAAAGCGUGGGUAGCAAACAGG
rnacentral:rRNA from 1 species